UACGUAGGGUCCGAGCGUUGUCCGGAAUUACUGGGCGUAAAGAGCUCGUAGGUGGUUUGUCGCGUUGUCCGUGAAAACUCACAGCUCAACUGUGGGCGUGCGGGCGAUACGGGCAGACUGGAGUACUGCAGGGGAGACUGGAAUUCCUGGUGUAGCGGUGGAAUGCGUAGAUAUCAGGAGGAACACCGGUGGCGAAGGCGGGUCUCUGGGCCGAUAUUGACGCUGAGGAGCGAAAGCGUGGGGAGCAAACAGG
rnacentral:rRNA from 1 species